AGCGUACACGGUGGAUGCCCUGGCAGUCAGAGGCGAUGAAGGACGUGCUAAUCUGCGAUAAGCGUCGGUAAGGUGAUAUGAACCGUUAUAACCGGCGAUUUCCGAAUGGGGAAACCCAGUGUGAUUCGUCACACUAUCAUUAACUGAAUCCAUAGGUUAAUGAGGCGAACCGGGGGAACUGAAACAUCUAAGUACCCCGAGGAAAAGAAAUCAACCGAGAUUCCCCCAGUAGCGGCGAGCGAACGGGGAGCAGCCCAGAGCCUGAAUCAGUGUGUGUGUUAGUGGAAGCGUCUGGAAAGGCGCGCGAUACAGGGUGACAGCCCCGUACACAAAAAUGCACAUGCUGUGAGCUCGAUGAGUAGGGCGGGACACGUGGUAUCCUGUCUGAAUAUGGGGGGACCAUCCUCCAAGGCUAAAUACUCCUGACUGACCGAUAGUGAACCAGUACCGUGAGGGAAAGGCGAAAAGAACCCCGGCGAGGGGAGUGAAAAAGAACCUGAAACCGUGUACGUACAAGCAGUGGGAGCCUCUUUAUGGGGUGACUGCGUACCUUUUGUAUAAUGGGUCAGCGACUUAUAUUCUGUAGCAAGGUUAACCGAAUAGGGGAGCCGAAGGGAAACCGAGUCUUAACUGGGCGUUAAGUUGCAGGGUAUAGACCCGAAACCCGGUGAUCUAGCCAUGGGCAGGUUGAAGGUUGGGUAACACUAACUGGAGGACCGAACCGACUAAUGUUGAAAAAUUAGCGGAUGACUUGUGGCUGGGGGUGAAAGGCCAAUCAAACCGGGAGAUAGCUGGUUCUCCCCGAAAGCUAUUUAGGUAGCGCCUCGUGAAUUCAUCUCCGGGGGUAGAGCACUGUUUCGGCAAGGGGGUCAUCCCGACUUACCAACCCGAUGCAAACUGCGAAUACCGGAGAAUGUUAUCACGGGAGACACACGGCGGGUGCUAACGUCCGUCGUGAAGAGGGAAACAACCCAGACCGCCAGCUAAGGUCCCAAAGUCAUGGUUAAGUGGGAAACGAUGUGGGAAGGCCCAGACAGCCAGGAUGUUGGCUUAGAAGCAGCCAUCAUUUAAAGAAAGCGUAAUAGCUCACUGGUCGAGUCGGCCUGCGCGGAAGAUGUAACGGGGCUAAAUCAUGCACCGAAGCUGCGGCAGCGACGCUUAUGCGUUGUUGGGUAGGGGAGCGUUCUGUAAGCCUGCGAAGGUGUGCUGUGAGGCAUGCUGGAGGUAUCAGAAGUGCGAAUGCUGACAUAAGUAACGAUAAAGCGGGUGAAAAGCCCGCUCGCCGGAAGACCAAGGGUUCCUGUCCAACGUUAAUCGGGGCAGGGUGAGUCGACCCCUAAGGCGAGGCCGAAAGGCGUAGUCGAUGGGAAACAGGUUAAUAUUCCUGUACUUGGUGUUACUGCGAAGGGGGGACGGAGAAGGCUAUGUUGGCCGGGCGACGGUUGUCCCGGUUUAAGCGUGUAGGCUGGUUUUCCAGGCAAAUCCGGAAAAUCAAGGCUGAGGCGUGAUGACGAGGCACUACGGUGCUGAAGCAACAAAUGCCCUGCUUCCAGGAAAAGCCUCUAAGCAUCAGGUAACAUCAAAUCGUACCCCAAACCGACACAGGUGGUCAGGUAGAGAAUACCAAGGCGCUUGAGAGAACUCGGGUGAAGGAACUAGGCAAAAUGGUGCCGUAACUUCGGGAGAAGGCACGCUGAUACGUAGGUGAAGUCCCUUGCGGAUGGAGCUGAAAUCAGUCGAAGAUACCAGCUGGCUGCAACUGUUUAUUAAAAACACAGCACUGUGCAAACACGAAAGUGGACGUAUACGGUGUGACGCCUGCCCGGUGCCGGAAGGUUAAUUGAUGGGGUUAGCGGUAACGCGAAGCUCUUGAUCGAAGCCCCGGUAAACGGCGGCCGUAACUAUAACGGUCCUAAGGUAGCGAAAUUCCUUGUCGGGUAAGUUCCGACCUGCACGAAUGGCGUAAUGAUGGCCAGGCUGUCUCCACCCGAGACUCAGUGAAAUUGAACUCGCUGUGAAGAUGCAGUGUACCCGCGGCAAGACGGAAAGACCCCGUGAACCUUUACUAUAGCUUGACACUGAACAUUGAGCCUUGAUGUGUAGGAUAGGUGGGAGGCUUUGAAGUGUGGACGCCAGUCUGCAUGGAGCCGACCUUGAAAUACCACCCUUUAAUGUUUGAUGUUCUAACGUGGACCCGUGAUCCGGGUUGCGGACAGUGUCUGGUGGGUAGUUUGACUGGGGCGGUCUCCUCCUAAAGAGUAACGGAGGAGCACGAAGGUUGGCUAAUCCUGGUCGGACAUCAGGAGGUUAGUGCAAUGGCAUAAGCCAGCUUGACUGCGAGCGUGACGGUGCGAGCAGGUGCGAAAGCAGGUCAUAGUGAUCCGGUGGUUCUGAAUGGAAGGGCCAUCGCUCAACGGAUAAAAGGUACUCCGGGGAUAACAGGCUGAUACCGCCCAAGAGUUCAUAUCGACGGCGGUGUUUGGCACCUCGAUGUCGGCUCAUCACAUCCUGGGGCUGAAGUAGGUCCCAAGGGUAUGGCUGUUCGCCAUUUAAAGUGGUACGCGAGCUGGGUUUAGAACGUCGUGAGACAGUUCGGUCCCUAUCUGCCGUGGGCGCUGGAGAACUGAGGGGGGCUGCUCCUAGUACGAGAGGACCGGAGUGGACGCAUCACUGGUGUUCGGGUUGUCAUGCCAAUGGCACUGCCCGGUAGCUAAAUGCGGAAGAGAUAAGUGCUGAAAGCAUCUAAGCACGAAACUUGCCCCGAGAUGAGUUCUCCCUGACUCCUUGA
rnacentral:rRNA from 1 species